rnacentral:lncRNA from 1 species
UCGCCUUCCUCUUCCUCCCAUGACCUGACCGCUUCUCCUCCUUUGCGCUGCCCCCAGCGAAGAAGCCCAAUUUCAAGGUAAAAUUUUCCCCUUUUCGUUCUAUUAUUCUGCUUUUUGAUCGAUUUUUUGGGAUUUUUUUGGGCGUUUUCCGCCGGAUCUGACGUUUUUUUGCUGCAGAUCUCGCCAUGAAAGGGGGAAAAUCGAAGGUCGAUGCCCCCAAGAAGGCCGACACCAAGUGAGGAUCUGCUCUUCUUUUUGGUUUGCUUGGUUGAUCGAUCGGUAUUUUGGUAGUUAGGGCUUGGGAUCUGAUGGUGGUUUAUUUUCCCUUUUUUCGGGGGUAAUUUUUCAAGGCUGUCGGUGAAGAAGGGACCGGAGAGGGCGAGUAAGAAGCCGAGGAAGACAAAGGCGGACAAGGAUCCGAACAAGCCCAAGAGGCCUCCCAGCGCCUUCUUCGUCUUCAUGUGAGAUCUCUGCUCGGUUGCUUGCUCCUUCUUUCGUGUCCUUAUGCUGAUUCUAGAUCUGUAUUUUUUUUUCCUUGAUUUCUCGGCUUAUGUAACUUCGCCUGUUUGGAUUGACAGGGAAGAAUUCAGGAAGUCAUUCAAGGAAAAGAAUCCAAAUAACAAAUCGGUCUCUGUGGUAAGAUUCCUCAUCCUCUCUACUGCGGAUCCAUCUGCUCUCAAAUUUGUCUUUUUUUUUUUUGUAAAGGAUAAAAGUCGCAGUUUGUUUGAUCGCUCAAAGUUGCAUCUUUUUUUGUAUAACAAAAUAAUUGCAGCUAGUUUGAUCUAAUUAGGUGGGUAAAGCCGGUGGAGACAAGUGGAAAUCCUUGUCGGAAGCUGUAAGUAUUUGCAUCAAUUUUCCUUUCCCUAAUUGGUUCGAUGAUCCUGUUGAAAGUUUUGAACUAAACAAAGAUACAUGCUUGAUUCCAGGAGAAGGCUCCUUAUGUGGCCAAGGCAGCCAAGUUCAAGACAGAGUACACCAAGAAAAUAGCUGCAUACAAUAAGAAUCAGGUAUUACUCUCGAACUGUUUCUUUGUUUCCCCAUUGCUUUAAACAUUUCAGAUAUCAGUUGUGUAAAUUCGCUUCUUUUCUGUUGUCUGAUCAAAUAGUCUGGGGGAGGAAGUCACGCGGCUGCGGAUGAAGAUGAGUCCGACAAGUCCAAGUCUGAGGUGAACGAUGACGACGAGGAAGAAGAGGGAAGCGAGGAGGUUUGUAGUGAUCGGAAAAUUAGUUUUUAGAUUUCUUAGUUGCCAUGGGAGAAUUUGCUAAUCCUUGUGGUUUUGGUACGGUUUUGAACAACAGGAAGAGGAAGACGAUGAAUGAGGAAAACUGGAAGCAAGUCUUGCUAUGUUAUCUUUGUCUUCUUUCCCCAUCUUUGUUCUACCUUCU